UGGAUUAUAUUCAUACUUCCCAACUAAAUACUUCAAAACAAAAUGGACAAAUAAGAGAUCUAUCAUCCUAAAGAUAAAAGUCCUGACAUGCAAUGCAAGUUAACGCCAUUGAUAAAGAUAACGAGUGAGUGAUUACCGGCUACAUCAUUACGACAAAUCAAUAGUGUGGAUUAAGGGAAAAGAGGAUUAGAAGAGGAUCUCCUGGCUGAUGACGUGUAGCAAAACCGGGACAACAACAGCAGAAUGACGACUAAACCAGGGGAGAGAAACAAUUCAAAAACUUAAUCCAAACGUUCAAGCAGGCAGUAAUUGUCAUUGAAAAAGGCAGUGAUAUGGAUGACAAAAAAAAGGACGGUGAUAUGAUGUAUACGGAGACUAAGUGGAAAUAGCUUCAUAACAAAGACGGUCUUCUAGCUUUCUGAAAGAUGAAAUGACAACAACAACAAAAUAAUUUGAAGAAAUUGAUCCAUGUGUCAAUUUGGAUAGGAGAAAAGGAUGGAGAAAAAUGUUUCUUUCUUGCAUACAAUAAAACAGAUUUUUUCCUCCAAAUGUAUGUAUCUAAAUAAUUUUGACGUUUUCUUUGAUAAAUACUUAGUUUUAAAAUUUAUAUUUUAAAUUUUAUUAUCAA